rnacentral:rRNA from 1 species
UACGAGGGGGGCGAGCGUUGUCCGGAAUCACUGGGCGUAAAGCGCACGUAGGCGGCUCUUUAAGUCAGAGGUGAAAUCCUGGGGCUCAACCCCAGAACUGCCUUUGAUACUGAGGAGCUUGAGUCCGGGAGAGGUGAGUGGAACUGCGAGUGUAGAGGUGAAAUUCGUAGAUAUUCGCAAGAACACCAGUGGCGAAGGCGGCUCACUGGCCCGAUACUGACGCUGAGGCACGAAAGCGUGGGGAGCAAACAGG